UAUUCGCCCCAACCAUCGAGGACCACGACGGCGAUACGUUUUCCCUUUGGAAGCUUUGGGUGGUCCUCUAAUUUAAACGAUACUUGUCCUGAACUCGCCAUUGUUGUUAAGCUUCGAAUGUUUGUAUUUUAAUUAAGAUUUGAAUGAAGGUUUGAUGAUGGUUAUAUAUAUAGUAAGGGAAAGAAAAAAAAUGGAAAAACGAGAGGAGAAGACGGCGGCGAGAAUAGUGAAAGGAUUCAAAGAUUUUGACCUUUUAAAUUAAACUGGUGGCGUAGAGACAAAGCAUGGCAUAACCACGUGAUAUAAAUUUUUUCUUUAUUGAAAAAUCUCUCUCGCAACGUAAUCAUCCUCAUGAAAUAAAAAUUUAAGCUUCAACUUACUUAAAUUUAUGUCUUUUCUAGAAGCCGACAAGUGCUUUGAAAUAAAAAAAUUAUUAUUUAGUUCUUUUAAAUAUUUUUAAAUUUUAAAUUAAUAAAUAUAAAAUUAUAUUUUAAAAAAUUAUAAAGAUAUAAACUAUAAAAAAUUAAAAUUUUAUUCGGUCUCUCUAAAAAAAUUGUUCUAGCUUCGCCCCUGGUCUUCUUACAUUGAUAACUAUACUGAUAUUAAUCGAGUUAAAACUCAACCAAUCACACAUCUAUAAUCUUAUUCUUAUUUUAAUUGUUUUAUUGGAUGAUCGAGUAUUUAUUAUAAAAUUACUAAAAAGUAUAAUCACUUAUUUAGUCAUUCAACUUAAAAAUAAAAUCAUUUUAGCUCUUCAUUUAAAUUUUUUCUUAUUUUUAAUUUUUAAACCUGUAUUAUUUGUUAAAUCAUCUCAAAUGGAAUAAAAAAAUUAGCGUAUAUUAACUUUAUUGAUGUGACAUCCGAGUCUACGUAUAUGCCACAUUAAUAAUUAAUUAUUUUUUAAAAAAAUUAAAAAAAUUCAAUUUUAUACUUUUUAUAUUUUUAAAACAAAGAGGCAAAAAUUUAAAUAGAAGAAUAAAAUAACUUUUUUUGUGAAGUUGGAAGGCUAAAUUAGUCAUUAUAUAUACAAUUUAAACCCAAAACACCAUGUAUGAUAUACAUUUAACUUUAAUUUUAUUGCGGUAACCAAAACAUCAAUAGAUUAUUUAUGUAAAAUUUUAAUAAAUAUAUUUGUUACAUAAUUUUUGCGUAGUUUAAUAAGUUUAGUUUUUUUUGAUAGAGUAGAUCUAUAAAUAUAAAUAUAUUAUUAUAACUACAGAUAAAGAGACUUAAACAAUUAAACUUGAAUGCUCAAAUCCGAAACCUUCAUGUUUUUAUUACGUUUAUUAUAUUCUAAUUGAUCGAAAAUAUAUUAUUUAAACUUUGUACAUUAUGAUUCUCGGAACUUCAAUUUUAUUAUCUCAAUCAAAACUUCAUCCACUAAUUAUAUUAUAUUUAAUUAUUUCAUAUAAUAUUUAUACUAUAUUAUUAUAAUAUAUUUUUAUAUUUUUAUAUUAUGUUAUUUUUAUGUAUAUCGAGUUUAAUAUUAUCAUAUUUUAAGAAAAUAAUCACAGUGUGUGAUAGAAGAUUCUAGAAGUUCAAAACAAACAUAAAUAAUAACCCUUUUUUUCAAGGUUCAAAAGGAAUAAGGACAGAAAGUGACGCCCACAGCAGAGGAAUUACCGAGAAAAAUCCGUGAAAGUGCUAUUAAGGAUUAAUAUAUCAUUUAGGACUUAAAUUUAUUUUAAUAUUCAAUUUGGUAUUUGAAUUGUGUUCCAAAGUUCAAUUUGGUAUUCAUACCAAACGGCAUCAUGCUGUUCAAUAAAUGCUUGACAUGUGUGCUUGAUAUAUACUUAUUCUCGUUGAAGUUUGAAUACGAGAGCAUGAAGUAUGAGCCUUCAAAAACUAAAUAUCAAGGACCAAAACCAUAAUUUCACCAAUUAUAAUUACACUGUUCAAUAUUUACAUGAAGAAUAAAAAUGGAAAAUAAGGACACGGAUUUUGGGACCCACUUGUAAUAUUUUCCACAAUCUAAAAUUCGGGCCGAAGUACUCACUGCUUUAUUAAACACUUACUAUAUGCUCAUUUCCCCCAUCAAAGCAAAGCAAAUCAUCCGUUUGUGCCUUCCUAUCCACGCAAUGAACAACCCCAAGCUCAAAGGCUAUGGCUUCAAGCCCUCCGAUCAAAUCCUCAUCGACUAUCUCCGAGACCGAACACUGUUCGGCCGUGAUUACUUGGUCCAAGAUAUCAUCGUCCUCAGUCACGAUAUUUGCAACUAUGAUCCAUGGGAUCUACCUGGUAUGUUCCCUUGUUUUUGUUUUUCUUUUAUUCAAUUACUUACUAACAUUCUCUUUAAAUUCGAUUCUUUCUAUUCGUAGGUUGUGAUUCGGUCACACCAAAUGAUUCGGAACGGUUUUUUAUUUACCCGAAAACGUAUAAGUAUGCAAACAGUAAGCCCAAGGUGAUCGGUACGCCUACAGGACAAGUACCAAACAGUGAUCAGCGGCAGCCGAUGAUAAAUCGAGCUACCAAGAACGGAAAGUGGAAAGUCUCGGGGGUUCGAGUUAACGUAAAGUCUAGUGAUGAAACUAAACAAGUGAUUGGUAUUAAGACAAGAUUGUAUUUCAAGCACAAUAGUUGCCCAAACAAAACAUCAUGUGUGUUACAUCAGUACGAACUUGUUGAUAUUGAUCCUUGCCAAGUAAGUUAUUCCUUAAACUCGAACCGAUUUUCAGUUGUGUUGCGUUUAUUGUAAUGAAUUUUUCUUCUCAUUGAUUUUUGUAGGAUAAAUAUUUUCUUGGUAAAGUGAUAAUGAAAGAAUUUAAGCAGACCAAUAUUUCAAGUAACAAUAUAAAUGGUCGGAUUUCAAUUCCAGAGGUUAGUUAACUUCAAUUUGUGCCAACAAUGGUGACUAAUUAAAAUACUACACAUCAAGUUUAUGUUUUAUGUAUAUUUCAGGUUCGAGUAGAACUUGGUCCGGAGCCAUUAGUUGAAACCGAAGUAACUAAUGAGUACGAGUGGACUCAAAGUGAACAAACUAAUGAAUUUAUAACUCCUUGUCCGGUUUUCGGCAACGAAAACUUUAUUGAUGACGGGAAUGAAGUGAUCUCUAAUCACCAGUCACAAGUAAGAACGCUUUUCUCAGAAAUUUCGAAGUUUAGUUUAUUUAAUUAAUGUAAUUACUGUUAAAACGUGUCUCGAAAUCCACAGAUAAAUAAAGAGCUAAUUAGAAGCUUGGAAGUACCUAAUAUAGGUAUUGAGGAUCAAAAUCAAUCAUACCAGAAUAUUGGGAUCGAUAAUGAUCCAACAGUCCCCGAUGAAGGAAGCAAUCAACAUAAUAUAGGUGCAGUUGCAGAGAAUGAAAGCUCAAUGUUGCCUUCUAAUUUACAUGACCAUCUAAUAGAUUUUAUAAAUCAAAUGGUGAGUAACUUCUAUAUUGUUCAUAAAAAAACAGGCAUAAAACAUGUUGAAAAAUCUAAUAUUUGCUUGUUCAAUAUGAUCCAGGAAUGGUCCGAUUUAUACAACUUAUGCCGCGGUAACGAUGACGGGCUUUUUCUCGACGAGUUGUCUGACGAGCCGCCAGAACUCGGGCCACAAAAUCAAUGCGGUAUUAACCAGCAAGUUGCUGCUGGUGCUGAGAUAGAGAGCACCAAUUUGCCCCCUUUGGAUGUGACUGAAUCUUCCUACUCGACGGAUUCAGUCCGUAAAAGAUCAGCCUUGGAGGUUGAAAGAUCGGCCACCGGUGUAGAAACUGAAUUGGCUCAACAACAAGCAAACAGAAGUAGAUUAAAAAGUUCGAGUUGCUUAUCUCCCGUAUUUGAUUAGUGCUUAUAAGUCGUAAUGUUAGACCCAUUGUCUUAUAAGUUAGUUUUCGAGGUUGGGUUUAAGUUUAUUUGACUUGGGAUCCUAUCUAGGCAUAGGUAUUUAUAUCGAAAAGAUUUUUUGCGUUGCUUGUAUUACAAGUUAGGUUUUGAGGUCUCGUGUUUGAAUAUGUUUCAACUGUAUAUAUGGACAUCUGUAAUAGCAAGUGCGGCUUGCUUGAUAUGUUUUUCUUUUUAUGUUGAUUUCAGAAGUUAUAGCAUGUAAUUUCUUGACAUUUGUUGCUGCUGUAAGAGAAAAGACACAGAACCAUAUAGUGGGGAGCAUAACAAACUAAAGUGGCAAAAGAACAACAGGUUUGUGGUCAAAAAGGAAGAGAAUAAUGAAGAAAAAUGAGGGUUGGAAAAAAAAAAGCAUAAAAGUUUGCAAGUAAUUUCAUUCCAGAAAAAUAAUAAUAUCAAUGUUGCCGGCUAAGUUCUAGCUCAAUUGGUAUUAGUAUUAUUGUCUACGUAAGAGGAUGUCGAUUUGAACGUGCUGAAACACAUUUAUCCUCCUAUUGAAGGGUUGGUGAGCAAUUAUGGAUAAUUCUAGUCAAUUUGUAUAAUAAUGACAUCAAUGUUCGAUGGACCAAUACUUUCGACUAGUUAUAGGAGAAAUGACGAAUAAUUUACAUUAUUUAAGUCAAAACAUUAAAUAACAGGUUCAAAGUUAAACAAUUAUUUUUCAUUAAAUUUAUAAGAAAAAAACGUCUCGUUAAAAAAAAAUCAACUUUUAUGCCAAUUAGUUAUAGGUGAAGUUACGAAUGAUUUAGCUUUAUUUAAGUCAAGAAAUUAAGUCUCAAGUUUAAAUCUAAACAAUCCCUUUUCCUUCCCUCUAAUUUAAAAAAAAAACCUUUAUAAGAAAAUAAUGUCAUAAUUUAUUGAAAUAAACAGGGUAAAAAUUUUAUUAGGAGUCAUAUUUCAUUUUGUUUCCUCUAUUGAAAAAGUGCAAUUAGCACUUGUACAUUACAUAAUAAAGUAAAAUAGUCAUUUCUGUUAAAUUUUUUGUCCAUUUGUAUAUAAACUGGUUUGCCUGCCGGAACAACUAGACAGUGACGUCACGUGUUCCUUAUGCUGACGUACAAGGAUAAAUUUUUAACAGUAGAAAUGGAUAAAAUUUUUAAUAGAAUGACCAGUUUACUUUUUUAUCUAACGUAUAAAGAUUAUUUUACCCUUUUUUUGAGUAAAUGAAGCAAACUAUAAUCUAACUCCUAGUAAAGGGACAUCAAUUGUACUUUUACCAAUAAAAAGAAAAGUGUUAGUGCAUGGUGUUGAUAGUAUACGACAUAUCUUUUAAGUUUUUUUUUUUUUAAAUGUAUAUGAACAACUAAGAUUGUUUAAACCAGACCAGAUUUCAAUCGGAUAGAUUGAACCAAGAAUUAAUUGAGAUAUGGGUUCGGAGAAAGAUAUUGAACUGGUUAACUCAAGAAUCAAUAUAAACUAGUUGAACUAAACAAAAAAUCGAUUGAAUCAAACAAUUAAAUCGAUUGAACUAAAUUUUUAAUAUUUUUAAUAAAUUAUUUAAUUAAAUAGGAUGCACUGAACAAACCGAUCAGAUCAAUUAUCUAUUUGCGACCAAUUCGAUUAUUGAUUUAGUUCUAAAAAACUUUGUCAACAAGCAAAACCAUAAAGGCAGAGAAGCUUUGGACGCAAGUAAUGUAAGAGUUGAGGGUUAUUUUUUCUACGAAAAGACUGGGGUGAGCAUAACAAACUAAAGUAAGCGAAAGAAAAAUUUGGAACAGGCCAAAAAGGUAGUUGACUAAUGGCAAUUUAAAAGAAGAAUCAUGAAAAUUUUAAAAGAAGAAUACUAGUGAAUCAGACAAUUCGUGUCAAAGAUCGUAAAAAAAAAUAUUAUGUUUUUAUUAAACUGGUGGCGUAGAGAUAGAAGUGCUCAUGGGCCGGGCUGGGCCUAUAAAAAAUUUUGGCCCGAGUCCUAGAUCCAGGCCCGGCCCGAAAUAUGGGCCUGAAAUUUUGUCCAUGCCCGGCCCGGGAAAAAAAUCAUAAGCCCGGGCCCAGCCCGGCCCAUUUUUAAUAAAAUACCAAAAAAUUAUUUUAAAAAUUAAAAAAAUUAAAAAAAGUAUUUUAAAAAUAUUUUAAAAUUAAAAAAUUUAAAAUUUAAAAAUAUUUAUUAUAUCGGGCCGGGCCAGGUUGGGCCCGGGCCAAAAAAGUUGUGCCCGAGGCCCGGCCCAUUUUCUAAAUGGGCCUCAUUUUUUGCCCAAGCCCAUAUUUCAAGCCUAUAUUUUUACCCAAACUCGGCCCGACGGCCCGCCCGGCCCAUGAGCACCUCUACGUAGAGACAAAGCAUGGCAGUACCACGUGAUUACACAUCUAUAAAUUUUUUCUUUUUUCAAAAAUCUCUCUCUCAACGUAACUAUCCUCGUCAUGAAACAAAAAUUUAAUCAGCUUCAACUUACUCGAAUUCAUGUCUUGUUAGAAGCUGGUAAGGGCCUUUAAAAUGGAAAAUUAUUAUUUAAGUCUUUUAAAUAUUUUUAAAAUUUUAAAUUAGUAAAUAUAAAAUUAUAUUUUGACCUUUCAAUAUUAUAUAUAUUCAAUUUAAUUUUUUAAAAGUUAUAAAGAUAUAGACUAUUGUCGAAACCGUUUUUGAAAACAAAAAAAAUUGUCCACUUUUAAAAAUAAAACUGGAGUCGCCACCGAUCCUUUAUUAAGGUGUGACCGGCCCACCUUAAAAAUGAUUUUGGUCUGCGAAUUUUGAAAACAGGUUCGGGAGUCAGUUACGCACGAGGAAGGGUUAGCACCCUCGUAACGCCCAAAAAUCGGUACCAAAUUGACUAUUUAAUGUCUUAGUGUCGAAAGUUAAAAAAGAUUUUAAAAUAAGCUUGAAUGAUGAAAUUUGCAAAAGGAUAACCAAUUGUUCAAGUCAUGUAAAGAAAUUGAGUCCCAAUACGUUAGGGUACAAUUCCUCAUAAUCCCCGAACUUUGGAUAUCUCUCUUAUUUUAUACGAAAAUCUUCAUUUCGAGAAAGUAACAUGCCACACCCAAUACGUUAGGGCACAACAAGUUAAGUUCCCAAAAAUGAUUUUUAUGCAUUUUGAAUAAAAACUAUUCUUAGUCAUUUAGGAUUGACGAAGAAAAUCGGAACCCAAUACGUUAGGGCUCAAUUUCCCUCGAAAAUCCCAAACUUCCAAAAAUGCUUUUAUUCAAAAAAAACCUUUAAAUCAAGAAAAUAACUUUGAUGUAUUUUCAAGAGGGUAUGUUAAAGAGCUAAUAUACAAUAUGAUACAGAUCCUUUAAUUUUCAGCAUACACGAAUAAAUAUUCACAAAAACAUAUACAAGUACAAUUAACAAGUAAAUUUGCAAAUAUAUGUACACAUAUAUUUAUUACGCAUAUACAAGGAUACAUAAAAAAAUGGAAUGGAGUAUAACAAUCAAAACUAACAAAAAUGCAUGCAUAUAUAUUUGAAAAUCGUGAAAAUAAAAUAAAAAUAUAAAAGUAUGUACAUGUGUAUAUAUUUACAAGAUAAAAAAAAUGUUUAAGUAUACAUGAAAAUCUGCAUUCGCAUAUAUUUAGAUAUACAUAUAUAUAUAUAAUAUAUAAAAUAAUAGAUUAUGUAAAACAAUAUAAAUAUUUAUAAUAAUUUUUAAAAACGGGUACAUAAGUGUAUUAAAACGUGCAUGUGUUAUGGAACAUAUAUAUAUAAAUAUAAAGUAUAAAGUAUACAAAGAAAUUUAGAAAAGUAAAAUAAAACAAGUAUGCAUGCGUAAAACAUAUGCAAAUUUAAACACUCAAAAGUAUAUAUUAAAAUAUGCACAUAUAUUAUAUAAAAAUAUGCGUGUAUAUGUAUUGCAAUUAUAGUAGUAAUAAUAAUAGAAAACAACGCAAUAAUAACAAUAUAAUGUAACAUAAUAAUAGUAAAAAAAAUAUAAAAAAAAAUGAAAAGAAGGAUUGAAUUGAAUUUAAAACAAAAAAUGGGGGGCAAAAUUUAAAACAAUAAAAAAGAUCAAUUUGAACACGCGAGCGAUAGUGGGGGACUAAAAAGGAAAUAAUUCCUUCCCUUCCAAAACGCUGCGCAAUGUGGUAUCAAAUUGAAAUAAAAAUGAAAUACGCAACCCAAAUUUUAAAACGAAUAAAAAGGAUUUAAUUGACGUGCGCUGCAAAAGAAAGGGGCUAAAUGCGCAAAUUCCCCACCUGACGUCAGAGCGCGCGGAUCCUCCCCUUCGGGUCGGGUCACCGCGCGGGUCAGGGCCUGGACAAAACGGCACCGUUUUGAGGUUUUAAUAAAACAAAAUUUCCUUUUCAAAAUCAUUCAGAACCGAAUGAAAGAAGAAAAAAAACUAAAAAAAAAAAUCCUCUGGUGUUCUGCUAGGGUUUUCCCCCCCAAGCGUCCUCGCGCCGCCGCUCGCCUGGCCAAGCUCCGAUCGCGACGGAGAUGGCCACCAGUCCGGCGUCCUCAACAAAUGAGGUAAACCCUUUCCCUUUUCUUUGUUAUUUUUUUAAAAAACCAUAAAACGCAAAAGGAGAGAAAAAAAUAAAAUAAAAAUGAAACUAAAAGAACCCGACUCACCUUAAAAAAACUUUAUACUCUGUUUUCCUUUCAAUUUCUUUUUUCUAUUUCUCUGUUAUUCAAUAUCCGUCCCUUUUUACAGAUUUCAAAGGGCCUUUUAUAGGCCAAAAAUAAAAUAAAUCGAGGGGGAAAAAUAAUCUUGCUUGCUGUUUUUUUUCUCUUUGGACUCCUUGAGUCCGUUUUUCAGGUGUUCGUGGAGAGUUUGGCGCGCGUGGAGGCCGAAACGUGCGGCGAUCGGGCGUUGGGCGCGGCGCGAGUACUGUUGCGGCGUUGAGGCAGAUGCGGCGCUCCUUAUUGCUUAGGGUUUUUCUGCUUAACUUUGUAGUGUUGGGCCAGGAACCGUUUUGGGCCGUCUGUUUAAUUUUGUAAUGUUGGACUAGGAACUGCUUUGGACCGAUUGGGCCUUAUUACAACUAUAAAAAAAUUAAAAUUUCAUUCGAUCCCUCUAAAAAAUUGUUCUAGCUUCGCCCCUGGUAUUCUUACAUUGAUAACUAUACUCAUAUUAAUCGAGCUAAAACUCAACCAAUCAUACAUCUAUAAUCUUAUUCUUAUUUUAAUUGUUUUAUUGGAUGAUCGAGUAUUUAUUAUAAAAUUACUAAAAAGUAUAACCACUUAUUUGGUCAUUCAACUUAAAAAUAAAGUCAUUUUAGCUAUUCAUUUAAAUUUUUUCUUAUUUUUAACUCUUAAACUUGUAUUAUUUGUUAAAUCAUCCCAAAUGGAUAAGAAACUUAGCGCAUAUUAACUUUGCUGACGUGACAUCCAUGUAGGAGUCCACGUAUAUGCCACAUUAGUAAUUAAUUAUUUUUAAAAAAAUUAUAAAAUAUUAAAAAAUUGCAAACUUAUACUUUUUAUAUUUUUAAUUUUUUUGAAUUUUUAUUUUAAAAUUUAAUUAAUUGUUAAUGUGGCAUCAAUGUGUAUGACAGUUAAGAAAGUUAACAAAUAGACGAAAAUUUAAAUGGAAGAAUAAAAUGAUUUUUUUGUGAAGUUAGAAGGCUAAAUUAGUCAUUAUAUAUACAAUUUAAACCCAAAACACCAUGUAUGAUAUACAUUUAACUUUAAUUUUAUCAUGGUAACCAAAACAUCAAUAGAUUAUUUAUGUAAAAUUUUAAUAAAUAUAUUUGUUACAUAAAUUUUUUUAUUCAUAUCACGUGUAGUUUAAUAAAUUUUUUUUUUAACUGAGUAGAUUUAUAAAUAUAAAUAUAUGAUCAUAACUACACAUAAAGAGACUUAAACAAUUAAACCUGAAUGCUCAAAUUCGAAACCUUUAUGUUUUUAUUAAGUUUAUUAUAUUUUAAUUGAUCGAAAAUAUAUUAUUUAAACUUUGUACAUUAUGAUUCUCGGAACUUCAAUUUUGUUAUCUCAAUCAAAAUUUCAUCCACUAAUCAUAUUAUAUUUAAUUAUUUUAUAAUAUUUAUUUUUUUUUAUAUAAGACCAUCUUAAAUUCAGACACUUAAAUGUGUAUCUACUUAAACUACCACACAAAUAAAAUCAUUAAUUACUUAUAUUAAUUAGAAUAUGGUAAACAUCUUUGAUCAACGGGUCAAAUGUUGAGUUCUUAUAAUAUAAAAAUAUAUUUUUAGAUUUUUUAUAUUUUGAUAUAAUGUUAUUUUUAUGUAAAUCGGGUUUAAUAUUAUCAUAUUUUAAGAAAAUAAUCACAGUGUGUGAAGAUUCUAGAAGUUCAAACAAAACAUCAUUAAUAUCCCUUUUUUUCAAGGUUCGAAAGGAAGAAGGGCAGAAAGUGACGCCCACAGCAGAGGAAUUUCUGAGAAAAAUCGGUGAAAGUGCUAUUAAGGAUUAAUAUAUCAUUUAGGACUUGAAUUUAUCUUAAUAUUCAAUUUGAUAUUUGAAUUGUGUACCAAAGUUUAAUUUGGUAUUCAUACCAAAUCACAUCAUGCUGUUCAAUAAAUGCUUGACAUGUGUGCUCGAUAUAUACUUAUUCUCGUUGAAGUGUAAAUACGAGAGCAUGAAGUAUGAGCCUUCAAAAACUAAAUAUCAAGGACCAAAACCAUAAUUUCACCAAUUAUAAUCACACUGUUCAAUAUUUACAUAAAGAAAAAAAAAUGGAAAAUAAGGACACGGAUUUUGGGACCCAAUUGUAAUAUUUUCCACAAUCUAAUCUUCGGGCCGAAGUACUGACUGCUUUAUGAAGCACUUACUAUAUACUCAUUUCCCCCAUCAAAGCAAAGCAAAGCAAAGCAAAUCAUCCGUUUGUGCCUUCCUAUCCAUGCAAUGAACAACCUCAAGCUCAAAGGCUAUGGCUUCAACCCCUCCGAGCAAAUCCUCAUCGGCUAUCUCCGAGACCGAACACUGUUCGGCCGUGAUUACUUGGUCCAAGACAUCAUCGACCUCGGUCACGAUAUUUGCAACUAUGAUCCAUGGGAUCUACCUAGUAUGUUCCCUUGUUUUUGUCUUUCUUUUAUUCAAUUACUUACUAACAUUCUCUUUAAAUUCGAUUCUUUCUAUUCGUAGGUUGCGAUUCUAUCACACCGAGUGAUUCGGAACGGUUUUUUAUUUACCCGAAAACGUAUAAGUAUGCAAACAGUAAGUCCAAGGUGAUUGGUACGCCUACAGGACAAGUACCGAAAGGUGAACAAUGGCAGCCGAUGAUAAAUCGAGCUACCAAGAACGGAAAUUGGAAAGUCUCGGGGGAUCAAGUUGAUGUAAAGUCUAGUGAUGAUACUAAACAAGUGAUUGGUAUUAAGACAAGGUUGUAUUUCAGGCACAAUAGCUGCCCAAACAAAACAACAUGGACGUUAUAUCAGUUCGAACUUGUUGGUAUUGAUCCUUGCCAAGUAAGUUAUUCCUUAAACUCGAACCGAUUUUCGGUUGCGUUGCGUUUAUUGUAAUGAAUUUUUCUUCUCAUUGAUUUUUGUAGGAUAAAUAUUUUCUUGGUAAAGUGAUAAUGAAAAAGCCAACCAAUAUUUCAAGUAACAAUAUAGACGAUCAGAUCUCAAUUCCGCAGGUUAGUUAACUUCAAUUCGUGCCAACAAUGGUGACUAAUUAAAAUACUACACAUCGAGUUUACGUUUUAUGCAUAUUUCAAGUUCGAGCAGAACUUGGUCCGGAGCCAUUAGUUGAAACGGAAGUAACUAAUGAGUACGAUGAGUGGACUCAAAGUGAACAAACUAAUGAAUUUAUAACACCCUAUCCAGUUUUCGACAAUGAGAACUUUAUUGCUAACGGGAAUGAAGUGAUCUCCUAUCACCAGUCGCAAGUAAUAACACUUUUCUCGGAAAUUUUUAAAAUACUACACAUCGAGUUUAUGUUUUAUGUAUAUUUCAAGUUCGAGUAGAACUCGGUUCAGAGCCAUUAGUUGAAACCGAAGUUACUAAUGAGUAUGGGUGGACUCAAAGUGAACAAACUAAUGAAUUUAUAACUCCCUGUCCGGUUUUCGACAAUGAGAACUUUAUUGAUGAUUGGAAUGAAGUGAUCUCCAAUCACCAAGCACAAGUAAGAACACUUUUCUCGGAAAUUUUUAAAAUACUACACAUUGAGUUUAUGUUUUAUGUAUAUUUCAGGUUCAAGUAGAACUCGGUUCAGAGCCAUUAGUUGAAAACGAAGUAACUAAUGAGUACGGGUGGACUCAAAGUGAACAAACUUAUGAAUUUAUAACUCCCUGUCCGGUUUUCGACAUUAAUGAUGGGAAUGAAGUGAUCUCCAAUCACCAGUCACAAGUAAGAACAAUUUUCUCGGAAAUUUUGAAGUUUAGUUCAUUUAAUUCAUGUAAUUACUGUUAAAACGGGUCUCAAAAUCUACAGAUAAAUAUGGAGCUAAUUAGAAGCUUGGAAGCACCUAAUAUAGGUAUUGAGGAUCAAAAUCAAUCAUACCGGAAUAUUGGGAUCGAUAUUAAUGAUCGAACAGUCCCUGAUGGAAGCAAUCAACUUAAUAUAGUUGCAGUUGCAGAGAAUGAAAGCUCAAUGUUGCCUUCUAAUUUACAUGACCUAAUUCAAAUGGUGAGUAACUUCUAUAUUGUUCAUAAAAAAACAGGCAUAAAACAUGUUGAAAAAUCUAAUAUUUGCUUGUUCAAUAUGAUCCAGAAAUGGUCUGACUUAUACAACUUAUACGGCUGGUGCUGAGAUAGAGAGCACCAAUUUGCCCCCUUUGGAUGUGGCUGAAUCUUCCUACUCGACGGAUUCAGUCCGUAAAAGAUCAGCCUUGGAGGUUGAAGGAUCGGGCACCGGUGUAGAAACUGAAUUGGCUCAACAACAAGCAAAGAGAAGUAGAUUAUAAAGUUCGUGUUGCUUAUCUCCCGUAUUUGAUUAGUGCUUAUAAGUCGUAAUGUUAGACCUAUCCUCUUAUAAGUUAGUUUUAGAGGUUGGGUUUAUGUUUAUUUGACUUGGGUUUACGUUGCUUGUAUUACAAGUUAGGUUUUGAGGUCGUGUGUUUCGAUAUGUUUCAACUAUAUAUAUGGACAUCUAUAAUAGCAAAGCGUGGCUUGCUUGAUAUAUAUAUAUAUAUAUAUAUUAAUAUAGAUAUAUUUAUUUCAAAAGUUAUAACAUGUAAUUUCUUGACAUUUGUUGAUGUUGUAAGAGUAAAGACAGAGAUAGUGGGGAGCAUAACAAACUAAAGUGGCAAAAGAACAACAGGUUAGUGGUCAAAAAGGCAGAGAAUAAUGAAGAAAAAUUAGGGUUGGAAAAAAAGCAUAAAAGUUUGCAAGUAAUUUCAUUCCAGAAAAAUAAAAUGUCACAUUUUUAAGAGAUUAAAGAAAAAAAAAAUAUCAAUGUUGCCGGCUAAGUUCUAGCUCGAUUGUUAUUAGUAUUAUUGUCUACGUAAGAGGACGUGGGUUUGAACGUGUUGAAACACAUUUAUCCUUUUAUUGAAGGAUUGGAGAGCGACUAUAAAUAAUUCUAGUCAAUUUGUAUAAUAAUAAUAUCAAUGUUUGAUGGAUCAAUACUUUUUAUGUCGAUUAGUUAUAGGGGAAAUGAUGAAUAACUUACAUUAUUUAAAUCAAAACAUUAAAUAACGGGUUCAAAGCUAGACAAUUAUUUUUCAUUAAAAUUACAAGAAAAUUACGUCUCAUUAAAAAAAAACAACUUUUAUGACAAUUAGUUAUAGGUAAGUUACAAAUAAUUUAGUUUUAUUUAAGUCAAGAAAUUAAAUCUCAAGUUUAAAUCUAAAUAAUCCCUUUUCCUUCCCUCUAAUUAAAAAAAAACCGUUAUAAGAAAAUAAUGCAUAAUUUAUUGAAAUAAAUAGCGUAAAAGUAUUAUUAGGAGUCAUAUUUCAUUUUGUUUCCUCUAUUGAAAAAGUGCAAUUAGCACUUGUACAUUACAUAAUAGAGUAAAAUAGUCAUUUUUGUUAAAAUUUUCGUCCAUUUGUACUGUUAUAAAUUGGUCUCGUUGACGGAACAACUAGACAAUAACGUCACGUGUUCCUCAUGCUGACGUAUAAAGAUAAAUUUUUAACAGUAGAAAUGGAUAAAAUUUUUAAUAGAAUGACUAGUUUGCUCUUUGAUCUAACGUAUAAAGAUUAUUUUACCUUUUUUUUUUGAGUAAAUAAAGCAAACUAUAAUCUAACUCCUAGUAAAGGGACCUCAAUAGUACUUUUACCAAUAAAAAGAAAAGUGUUAGUGCAUGGUGUUGAUAGUAUACGAUACAUCUUUAAUUUUUUUUUUUUAUGUAUAUGAACAACUAAGAUUGUUUAAACCGGACUAGAUUUCAAUCGGAUAGGUUGGACCAAGAAUUAAUUGAGAUAUGGGUUCGGAGAAAGAUAUUGAACCGGUUAACUCAGGAAUCAAUAUGGACUAGUUGAACUAAACAAAAGAUCGAUUGACUCAAACGAUUAAAUCGAUUGAACUGGAUUUUUAAUAUUUUUAAUAAGUUAUUUAAUUGAAUAGGAUGCACUGAACAAAUCGAUUAGAUCAAUAAUCUAUUUGCCUGACCAAUUCGAUUAUUGAUUUAGUUCUAAACAACUUUGUCAACAAGCAAAACCAUAAAGGGAAAGAAGCUUUGGACGCAAGUAGGGUAAGAGUUGAGUGUUAUUUUUUCUACGAAAAGAUUGGGAUGAAGAUAGCGAUAUAUUAGAAGCAAAUUUGGUGCCCAAGAAAGACCUUUUUAUGUGUGCUUAUAAUAUAAGGACAACCAUAUUAGUGGGGAACAUAACAAACUAAAGUAAGCCAAAGAAAAAUUUGGAAAAGGCCAAAAAGGUACGUGGCUAUUGACAAUUUAAAAGAAGAAUCAUGAAAAUUCUAAAAGAAUAAUCCUAGUGAAUUAGACAAUUCGUGUCAAAGAUCGUAGAAAAAUAUUGUUUGGAUUUUGGUUUGUAAAUUCAAUUCGAAACUUUCAAAGUUAUUUCAUGAAAAAAAUAUUGAAUUGUAGAAGAUAAGGAGAAUGUGAGUUUUCGGUUGGUGCCAGUGGUAUAAACAGAGAAAGUCAUACAAUAAUGAUUUUAGUAGCCUAGCGGUUUAAAUGAAAACUUUCGAAUAGUUUAUUAAUCAUUUUGUAACUUUUUAAAGUUAAGUAACCAAAACAUAAAUUUACUAAUAGUCUAAUGACCUUGAAUGUAAUUUACCCUAGAAAAUUGAUCCAACCGGUUUAUAGAAUCGAAUUAUUAGAGGAUUUGAAAAAUCUAAAAAGACCGACCCAACAAAAGCAAGCUCAACCCAAUUCUUCGUUUAUUGAAUUUUCUAAAAAACUUUUGGUCUGCCCAAAAUUUCGUGAUUCUUAGCCCAAGAAUAUUGAAUUUUAAUUUUCUAUUUACUGUUUUAUUUUCUGAUUUAAUUUUAAAUUAUUUUCUUUGAGCCCUAGGCAGCUGAGUAUUGCUUCAUCUACUCUUUCUUCUUCUUUAGCCGUGAGCCUUUGCUUCAUUGAAGUUCUAAAUCUCUGCUUUGCUUGCUGCUGCCGUAGUGAUUUGCUGCUGCUGUCGGCUCCGGUAAGUUCUUUUUUUUUUUUUUUAAAUUUUAUUCGAUAGUGCUAGAAUAAGUAAGCACAUGCUAUCUACGUUGUUUAUGAACCUUAGGCUUCUUCUUAAGUGAAUAUUGAUUGAUAAUUUGAUGCAUCGAAAGUGUUGCUUUAAAACAAGAAAUUUCACAACAGAAUAAACCUAUUGAAACUAUUUGUUUUUACUGUUUUAAGGCUUUAGCAAAUUUGCAAUAUUGAUCGAUUAUCAGAGUCAGUUUUUUGUUAACAAUAUGCAAUAUGAACACACAAACACACAAGCGCGCGCACACACAAAAUUUUUAGACUUUUUUUAAGAUUUUCAACCGGUUAAAUAGGGAAUUAAUGGUUUGAUUGGUUGGAUUACUAACUUGGUUCUUUAACCCCAUUCAACUAAACCCUAAUUCUCUCUUUUUCAGGAUUACAAUAAGAAUGGACAAGUUUCAUCAAACAGAUUGCAUUGAAAUUUUAUCUCAAAUUAAGCAUCAAGAGAAGCUGCUUAAUCUCAAAAGAAGGUUCUUCCUCGUCUUUCUUUUCUUUAAUUUCUUGCCUAUUCAAUUUAUUCUCUUUGAUUUCUUCAAUAUAUAUACUUUUCUUAUAAUUCUUCACAAUUCUGAAAAUUAGCUAGUAAUUUGUAAUAUAAAAUAUACUGGUGGUCUUUUUAUUUAUUUAUUUCUUGUUGAAACAAGUUAAAGAUUGCCCUUUUUCUCAGUGCAUAUAUAUGUGUGUGUGUGUGAAGGGAAUUAUGUUGUUUCUUGUAAGAAUGCCUACUAGAGGACCACGACGGCGAUACGUUUUCCCUUUGGAAGCUUUGGGUGGUCCUCUAAUUUAAACGAUACUUAUCCUGAACUCGCCAUUGUUGUUAAGCUUCGAAUGUUUGUAUUUUAAUUAAGAUUUGAAUGAAGGUUUGAUGAUGGUUAUAUAUAUAUAUAUUAAGGGAAAGAAAAAAAAUGGAAAAACGAGAGGAGAAGACGACGGCG
rnacentral:lncRNA from 1 species